rnacentral:rRNA from 1 species
AUUGAACGCUGGCGGUAUGCUUAACACAUGCAAGUCGAACGAUGAGAAAGAGCUUGCUCUUUCGAUUAGUGGCGGACGGGUGCGUAACGCGUAGGAAUCUACCUAUUAGUGGGGGACAACUUAGGGAAACUUAAGCUAAUACCGCAUACGCCCUACGGGGGAAAGAAGGGGAUCGCAAGACCUUUUGCUAAUAGAUGAGCCUGCGUAGGAUUAGCUAGUUGGUGGGGUAAAAGCUCACCAAGGCGACGAUCCUUAACUGGUUUGAGAGAAUGAUCAGACACGCUGGAACUGAGAAACGGUCCAGACUCCUGCGGGAGGCAGCAGUGGGGAAUAUUGGACAAAGGGCGAAAGCCUGGUCCAGCAAUACCGCGUGUGUGAAGAAGGCCUUAGGGUUGUAAAGCACUGUCAAUUGGGAGGAAAACCUCGAAGCUAAUACCUUCGAGUUUGACAUUACCUUUAGAAGAAGCACCGGCUAACUCCGUGCCAGCCGCCGCCGUAA